CGUAGGGUGCGAGCGUUAAUCGGAAUUACUGGGCGUAAAGCGUGCGCAGGCGGUUUAGUAAGACAGGCGUGAAAUCCCCGGGCUCAACCUGGGAACUGCGCUUGUGACUGCUAAGGCUAGGGUACGGCAGAGGGGGGUGAAUUCCACGUGUAGCAGUGAAAUGCGUAGAGAUGUGGAGGAACACCAAUGGCGAAGGCAGCCCCCUGGGUCGAUACUGACGCUCAUGCACGAAAGCGUGGGUAGCAAACAGGAUUAGAUACCCUGGUAGUCCACGCCCUAAACGAUGUCAACUAGGUGUUGGGAGGGUAAAACCUUUUAGUACCGGAGCUAACGCGUGAAGUUGACCGCCUGGGGAGUACGGCCGCAAGGUUA
rnacentral:rRNA from 1 species